rnacentral:rRNA from 1 species
CAGCUACCAUGCAGUCGAGCGGCAGCGGGAAAGUAGCUUGCUACUUUUGCCGGCGAGCGGCGGACGGGUGAGUAAUGCCUGGGAAAUUGCCCAGUCGAGGGGGAUAACAGUUGGAAACGACUGCUAAUACCGCAUACGCCCUACGGGGGAAAGCAGGGGACCUUCGGGCCUUGCGCGAUUGGAUAUGCCCAGGUGGGAUUAGCUAGUUGGUGAGGUAAUGGCUCACCAAGGCGACGAUCCCUAGCUGGUCUGAGAGGAUGAUCAGCCACACUGGAACUGAGACACGGUCCAGACUCCUACGGGAGGCAGCAGUGGGGAAUAUUGCACAAUGGGGGAAACCCUGAUGCAGCCAUGCCGCGUGUGUGAAGAAGGCCUUCGGGUUGUAAAGCACUUUCAGCGAGGAGGAAAGGUCAGUAGCUAAUAUCUGCUGACUGUGACGUUACUCGCAGAAGAAGCACCGGCUAACUCCGUGCCAGCAGCCGGGGUAAUACGGAGGGUGCAAGCGUUAAUCGGAAUUACUGGGCGUAAAGCGCACGCAGGCGGUUGGAUAAGUUAGAUGUGAAAGCCCGGGGCUCAACCUGGGAAUUGCAUUUAAAACUGUCCAGCUAGAGUUUUGUAGAGGGGGGUAGAAUUCCAGGUGUAGCGGUGAAAUGCGUAGAGAUCUGGAGGAAUACCGGUGGC